rnacentral:rRNA from 1 species
GAUGAACGCUGGCGGCGUGCCUAAUACAUGCAAGUCGAGCGAACAGACGAGGAGCUUGCUCCUCUGACGUUAGCGGCGGACGGGUGAGUAACACGUGGAUAACCUACCUAUAAGACUGGGAUAACUUCGGGAAACCGGAGCUAAUACCGGAUAAUAUAUUGAACCGCAUGGUUCAAUAGUGAAAGACGGUUUUGCUGUCACUUAUAGAUGGAUCCGCGCCGCAUUAGCUAGUUGGUAAGGUAACGGCUUACCAAGGCAACGAUGCGUAGCCGACCUGAGAGGGUGAUCGGCCACACGGGAACUGAGACACGGUCCAGACGCCUACGGGAGGCAGCAGGAGGGAAUCUUCCGCAAUGGGCGAAAGCCUGACGGAGCAACGCCGCGUGAGUGAUGAAGGUCUUCGGAUCGUAAAACUCUGUUAGUAGGGAAGAACAAAUGUGUAAGUAACUAUGCACGUCUUGACGGUACCUAAUCAGAAAGCCACGGCUAACUACGUG